rnacentral:snoRNA from 1 species
CCCAUCGGUACCACACUGGCUAGGUUGUUUUCUGCCUAGGCCAGUGUUACAAUGUUGAGAGAAAACAGUCAAUAACUGGCUGGCAUUCUGGGACUAGUUCAUGCUAAUUAUGUAUUAACUAUAAAAGUGUGCCAGCAUAGU